rnacentral:tRNA from 1 species
UGAACUUUAAGUUAUGCAAACUAAGAGCCUUCCAAGCUCCUCAAAAGAAAUCCUUAAGUUCAA